rnacentral:rRNA from 1 species
CUACGUGCCAGCAGCCGCGGUAAUACGUAUGUCGCGAGCGUUAUCCGGAAUUAUUGGGCAUAAAGGGCAUCUAGGCGGCCAGGUAAGUCCGGGGUGAAAACUGCUGGCUCAACCAGCAGCCUGCCUUGGAAACUACCCGGCUGGAGUGCUGGAGAGGUGGACGGAGCUGCACGAGUAGAGGUGAAAUUCGUAGAUAUGUGCAGGAAUGCCGAUGAUGAAGAUAGUUCACUGGACGGCAACUGACGCUGAAGUGCGAAAGCUAGGGGAGCGAACAGGAUUAGAUACCCUGGUAGUCCUAGCUGUAAACGAUGAUUACUGGGUGUGGGCAUGAAGAGUGUCCGUGCCGAAGCUAAUGCGAUAAGUAAUCCGCCUGGGGAGUACGGCCGCAAGGCUGAAACUCAAAGGAAUUGACGGGGACCCGCACAAGCGGUGGAGCAUGUGGUUUAAUUCGACGCAACGCGAGGAACCUUACCAGAUCUUGACAUCC